rnacentral:rRNA from 1 species
AACGAACGCUGGCGGCAUGCCUAACACAUGCAAGUCGAACGAGACCUUCGGGUCUAGUGGCGCACGGGUGCGUAACGCGUGGGAACCUGCCCUUAGGUUCGGAAUAACUCCCCGAAAGGGGUGCUAAUACCGGAUAAUGUCUUCGGACCAAAGAUUUAUCGCCUUUGGAUGAGCCCGCGUUGGAUUAGCUAGUUGGUAGGGUAAAAGCCUACCAAGGCGACGAUCCAUAGCUGGUCUGAGAGGAUGAUCAGCCACACUGGGACUGAGACACGGCCCAGACUCCUACGGGAGGCAGCAGUGGGGAAUAUUGGACAAGGGGCGAAAGCCUGAUCCAGCAAUGCCGCGUGAGUGAUGAAGGCCUUAGGGUUGUAAAGCUCUUUUACCCGGGAUGAUAAUGACAGUACCGGGAGAAUAAGCUCCGGCUAACUCCGUG